GCGCCUAUCACAUGCAAGUCGAACGCAGUAGCAAUACUGAGUGGCAAACGGGUGAGUAUAAUGUGGGAAUCUGCCUUUUGGUUCGGAAUAACACGAGGAAACUUGUGCUAAUACCGGAUAAGCCCUUACGGGGAAAGUUUUAAUGCCAAAAGAUGAGCCCGCACUUGAUUAGCUAGUUGGUAAGGUAAUGGCUUACCAAGGCAACGAUCAAUAGCUGUUCUUAGAGGAAGACCAGCCACAUUGGGACUGAGACACGGCCCAAACUCCUACGGGAGGCAGCAGUGGGGAAUCUUGCACAAUGGGGGAAACCCUGAUGCAGCGAUGCCGCGUGAGUGAAGAAGGCCCUUGGGUUGUAAAACUCUUUCGUCGGGGAAGAAAAUGACUGUACCCGAAUAAGAAGGUCCGGCUAACUUCGUGCCAGCAGCCGCGGUAAUACGAAGGGACCUAGCGUAGUUCGGAAUUACUGGGCUUAAAGAGUUCGUAGGUGGUUGAAAAAGUUGGUGGUGAAAUCCCAGAGCUUAACUCUGGAACUGCCAUCAAAACUUUUCAGCUAGAGUAUGAUAGAGGAAAGCAGAAUUUCUAGUGUAGAGGUGAAAUUCGUAGAUAUUAGAAAGAAUACCAAUUGCGAAGGCAGCUUUCUGGAUCAUUACUGACACUGAGGAACGAAAGCAUGGGUAGCGAAGAGGAUUAGAUACCCUCGUAGUCCAUGCCGUAAACGAUGUGUGUUAGACGUUGGAAAUUUAUUUUCAGUGUCGCAGCGAAAGCGAUAAACACACCGCCUGGGGAGUACGACCGCAAGGUUA
rnacentral:rRNA from 1 species